rnacentral:rRNA from 1 species
UACGGGGGGGAGCAAGCGUUGUUCGGAUUUACUGGGCGUAAAGGGCGCGUAGGCGGCCACCGCAAGUCGGUUGUGAAAUCUCCGGGCUUAACCCGGAAAGGUCAACCGAUACUGCGGGGCUAGAGUGCAGAAGGGGCAACUGGAAUUCUCGGUGUAGCGGUGAAAUGCGUAGAUAUCGAGAGGAACACCUGCGGCGAAGGCGGGUUGCUGGGCUGACACUGACGCUGAUGCGCGAAAGCUAGGGGAGCGAACGGG